GAUGAAGAACGCAGCGAAAUGCGAUAAGUAAUGUGAAUUGCAGAAUUCAGUGAAUCAUCGAAUCUUUGAACGCAUCUUGCGCUCCUUGGUAUUCUGAGGAGCAUGCCUGUUUGAGUGUCAUUAAAUUCUCAACUACACUGACUUUGAAUUGGUGUGGCUUGUAUUUGGGGGGAAAAUUGUUGUGGGCUUUUUGUAUAGUCUGCUCCCCUGAAAUUGAUUAGCGGUACCUUUGUGGAACUGUCUACAGGUGUGAUAAUUAUCUACAUCUUAGACAUCUGCUGGAAUGCUGCUUUCUAAACCUUACUUGUAUUGACAAUCUUGACCUCAAAUCAGGUAGGACUACCCGCUGAACUUAAGCAUAUCAAUAAGCGGAGGA
rnacentral:misc_RNA from 1 species